GAAGCAAGAGAGCAGGCAGGCAGAAGGGCAGCCAGGACCAUCAGCUCGGCCAUAGCAAUAGUUUCAGACCCGUGGAGUCAGCUGUGCUGUUGCCAACCUCCAUCACCUGUCCGCCUUUAUCCUGGGCUCUGUUCCUGUGGAUUUGAACAAAUAGAUGAGCGGCAUCGGAAGAAAGCUUUAGCUGCAUGUGUUUGGGUGACCACGAGAGGGCAGCACGUAAGAGACCAGUGUCGGCCCCGCUGCCUUCUUGAACACACCGGAAGCCUCCUAGGAAAACUGCAGAUUUUGUCAGACUGUGAAGUAGAAGAGUCAAAGAGCCUUCAUUGCUUCCUUUUAAAUGACCAGCCUACUAAGGAAUUUAGAAUGCCCAAGUAAGGACUGCUGGUCAGACUGGACUUCAAAAUUCCUGGAUCCUUAAGACCCAAUGCAUCAGACAAAUGUCCUGCUGGAUCCUCCCACCGUCAGCUAAGGGACAGUGCUAGCUCUCUGGUGAGGGAGAUCCGUGUGGAGGUCUCUGGCAUUCCUGGGUCAGUGGAUGGCUGGGAGAACUGCUCAGCUCCAGGUUCCAGGGCCUCUGAUCAAAGCCAACCCUGGGGGCCAGCCAGAGAUAUCGCAAACCUAAGGACUAACGUGGAAUCUACACCUGCCUUGGGAGUAAAGAACAAGCAGGGUGCUUUCCGGGAUGGCUUUGGGAUGAGAUGCCCAAGACUUAGUGCCCCUGGCAUUGCUCAGCUCUCAAGCUGACUUCCACAGCACCCCCAUGGAAGCUUCAUUGGUGCAUCUUUGGGUCUUGAAUGCAGUGCUACAAUAUUGACGAGGAAAGUCUCCUUGGAACCACAGGAAGACAAAAGUGCAGAGUGAUUUGCUGGCCUUGGCUAGGACAGGGUCCAGGGUGCAGCCAAGGGAGGGUGAUCUAAGCCAGCCAUUCUCCUAGUGUGGCUCCUGGACUAUGCGCAACAGCAUCACCUGGGAGCUUGUUAGAAACACUGGUUCUCAGUUCCCAUGCAGACGUCUUGCAUCAGAAAAUCUGGGGCUGGGGCCCAGCAAUCAGUGUCUCCAAAGGCCCUGAGAUCAUUCUAUUCAAGUUUGGGAACCAGCAACACAGCAUUUAAGUGGAAAUGUUUAUAGUUGCAAAGCCAGGUGAAGCUUGAAAUGCAUCAUAGAGGAAAUGAGGACAAGAAUGUAGAAAAAGAGUAAAAACAGAGAGGAAAAAAAUUUACAAGCCAUCAUAGAGUGAAAGAGCUUCCCCUGCUGCCUGGGGGUGUGGGAAAUGAGAGUUGCACCUGCUCACAAGUAUGACCAGCAAUUUAAUAUCUAUCUAGAGCUUUCAACCCUGCCAUGUCAAAUUUAUUUAGCUAAAAACAACUCUUGUGGUGGUGACCUUUUAUUCAGCUAAUAUUACUCCCCUCAAUGCCUCCAAAGCACACAGAGAAAUUGGAGGGCUGAUGAAAAUCUUUAAAGUCUACUAAAUACUAAAGCCUUCCCAAACACUGUGUACUUUUCAGAGAGAGUUUCUUUUUAUUGGAAUUUCAGAUUAUUGAAAGGUUAUCUGUCUCCUGUUCCUAGAGGGAUUAAAAUAAAACAAAAGCAAGAAGAA
rnacentral:lncRNA from 1 species